rnacentral:rRNA from 1 species
UCCCUGAGACUUAGAGUCUCCUGAAGGAAACGUUGAAGACGACGACGUUGAUAGGCCGGGUGUGUAAGCGCAGCGAUGCGUUGAGCUAACCGGUACUAAUGAACCGUGAGGCUUAACCUUAC